CUUUUGAAUAGGCUUGGCUGGAACUUCUCUUGGCAAGUCUUGGGAUGCUUUUGCAUCAUCCCCAUUCUUGGUAGAAGGCUCUAAAUUAUGGGCAUCAGAUUUUGCUAUCUCCUCAGCAUUUUCUUUGCCUACCUUAUCUUCACUGGUUUUUGCACUUUCCUCAUCUUUCACUUCUAACCCAGAAUCUUGUGAUUCCUUAACUGGUUCGGUAACAGCUGUAAUGGCUUCAUCCAGCUUUCCCUCUAUGG
rnacentral:misc_RNA from 1 species